AUGUUAGGCCGUGUCGUCGACGCCUUGGGAGUACCUAUUGAUGGAAAAGGGGCUCUAAGUGAUCACGAACGAAGACGUGUCGAAGUGAAAGCCCCAGGGAUUAUUGAACGUAAAUCUGUGCACGAACCCAUGCAAACAGGCUUAAAAGCAGUGGAUAGCCUGGUUCCUAUAGGCCGUGGUCAACGAGAACUUAUAAUCGAGGAUAGACAAACUGGAAAAACUGCAAUAGCUACCGAUACUAUAUUAUACCAAAAGCAAAUGAACUCAAGGGGCACAAAUGAGAGUGAGACAUUGUAUUGUGUCUAUGUUGCGAUUUCAAGGAUGCCGGAUUGCACCAUUCAUAAGAGAAACCCUUGGCAUCUCAUGGAAAACCCUUUUCGUUCCGCUUAG
rnacentral:rRNA from 1 species